UACGGAGGAUCCAAGCGUUUAUCCGGAAUCAUUGGGUUUAAAGGGUCCGUAGGCGGUUUGGUAAGUCAGUGGUGAAAGCCCAUCGCUCAACGGUGGAACGGCCAUUGAUACUGCCAGACUUGAAUUAUUAGGAAGUAACUAGAAUAUGUAGUGUAGCGGUGAAAUGCUUAGAGAUUACAUGGAAUACCAAUGCGUAAGGCAGGUUACUACUAAUGGAUUGACGCUGAU
rnacentral:rRNA from 1 species